rnacentral:sRNA from 2 species
GGUUACAAUUUACUGAAUCCUGCACCAGCAGGAACGGGGGAACCAACGAAGCAUAAGGCGUGUAAGCACGCUUGUUGCUUCAUGGGGUGAAUCGCUUGGCAGCAGCCAGGCGUAGGGCAACUCUCAGGCCCGAAUCCGACAGCUAACCUCGUAAGUGUACUCGAGAGGGGCA